UGUAAGGUGUCCAGUGGCCACUAUGCAAAACUCUUGCGAGAGAGGUGGCGAGUUCGCUGUCCUUGUCGCUAUACUAAGACGUGGCUGGAUAAAAUUCUAAACCAAAACGUUGUGGAUACUUCAGCCUUCAGAUCAGAUAUUCAAAAAAUUUACAUGUAGGUAUCCACCUUCGUCCGGCGUUUCUUCAAGAGAAAUCAGUGCCGUAAAAUGCCCCAAGAAUUUGCCCAAAGAACACCAUAAACGUAUCAUGUCCGACCCUUAUAUACACAUAUAAUAAAGCUUCGGACAGAGAGUAUAAAGUUCAAAAUGGUAUUACGAUUUACAUCCUUCGAGAAAAAUAACCUUGUUCGGAAGUGAGAAAGCUUUCCACCUAUUCACUGAAAAUAAAAUGUAAAAAACUGGAUGUUUUAAAGAAAAUUAAAAACAAGGAAGUUUUGCCGAUUGCGCCUGGUACCUAAUCUACUCCGUGUAAAGAAGAAAUUAACACAACUUUCUUGGAUAUUUAUUACGCUACUUUUAUUACUUUACUUUUACGAGGCUGAAAUUUAAACAGAAAAGUACUUACCUAUUGUGCCUGCUAAUGUUUCAAAUUAAUGAUUGAGAAUAAAUAAACAUUGAGUAAGUCUGGC